rnacentral:rRNA from 1 species
CCUACGGGUGGCAGCAGUGGGGAAUAUUGCACAAUGGGGGAAAGCCUGAUGCAGCAACGCCGCGUGAAGGAAGACGGCUUUCGGGUUGUAAACUUCUUUUAUGAGGGAAGAGUAGUAGACGGUGCUACUUGACGAAGCAACGGCUAACUAGGUGCAAGCAGCCGGGGUAAUACGUAGGUGGCAAGGGUUGUCCGGAUUUACUGGGUGUAAAGGGCGUGAAGCCGGGCAGACAAGUCAGAUGUGAAAUUCCGGGGCUCAACUUUGGACCUGCAUUUGAAACUGUUUGUCUUGAGUAACGUAGAGGCUGGCGGAAUUCCUAGUGUAGCGGUGAAAUGCGUAGAUAUUAGGAGGAACACCAGUGGCGAAGGCGGUCAACUGGGCUUCAACUGACGCUGAGGCGCGAAAGUGUGGGGAGCAAACAGGAUUAGAUACCCGAGUAGUC